UUUUAAAAUUUUUUUUUUUAAAAUUUCGGCGCUGUUCUCUGAUUCUCCCACCCCCUAUUCUAAAUGCCUAACCUUGCUUACUUUCUUCAGUUUUUGGUUUUUCCAAGCAUAUUAUUUUCUUAGCUGAAAAUUACAUUUUUGAGUAGAAUUGGAAUUGGCAAGAUUUUGGUGGAAUUAAGGAGUGGCACAGGGUGAAGAAGACUGAAUCAAAAUUCAAAUCAAUGAUGUCAUUGGAAGGAGUGGCCAUAAUCAUACGAAGCCAUAUUUUGCUCGGUUUCCCCAUGCUCCACCAGGUGCUGUUCUUCCUAUCAAAGAUAUUGUUCUUUGUGCUCAUGAUGUUGGUGCAAAAGUCCUUGUAGAUGCAUGUCAAGAGUGUUCCACAUAUGGUGGUUGAUGUGCAGAAUAUUUUUAAUUUUUUUAAUUUUUUUAAAAGAGAAAACUUCUAUUCCCACCGAAAAGCUUCAAUCUUUCACUAAGCAGAGCACCACAGGACUCAAAAUUCCUCCAUGAUUGAUAAACAUGCCUCCCUAAAUAACCGAUUCACGACGAAGAAACUAAUGAAUGCUGACUUUCUUGUUGCUUCUUCUCACAAGGUUAGGAUACUGCCUUAUGUACUGUAACCUAGCCUUAUGGGCAAGGCAAGUAUAUGAAGCAAGGAAUAAACAUGCCUCAGAUGUGUGGGCCUACAGCCUACAGGCGUCGGAUUCUUAUAUGGAAAGAGAGAGUGAUCUCUUGUCCGCCAUGCCUCCAUUUUUAGCUAGAUUUGAGGCGCUGGAACACCAGCAAUUGGGUUAGGAGCAGCUACUGAUUAUCUAUCAGGAUUUGGUAUGUAAAAAAUACAUGAUGAUGAGGUAAGUUGAAUUCUUCUGCCUUCUGAAUUUCUUGUUCUAUAUAUCUGGUUUAUACAGUUUUGUUGCAGGGCUUUUCUUUUGGUUAUUAAUUGUAGUAAUUGAAAGAGAAACUAUUAUAGUUGAAAAGAUAAUCGUAUUGCAUUGACAGGGCUAGUAACAUUUAAGACUCCGAAAGGCAGAAAGGCGAAUCGCGUAUUCCAUUCCAAGUACUUUAUCUAGCGAAAUCUAUGCCAAGAUUGUGCGUUUCUCUUUUAAGCCAAGAUCACAUGUUUAUGUAGUCCUUAACUUGUUUGCAAUUUUAUUUUCCUUUUCUUGUUUGCAAUUUUAUUUUCCUUUUUACAGAUAUUUCUUGCAAAAUAUCUAUACUAUAGACUUUGUUUCGUCCCUGAUAUUCGCACACGUCUUCUCCGCUGCUCUGUGUUCUUUCAACGUCGAAAAUAUACCCUACAUAUCUGGCAACUUUUCUUAAGUCAAGAUCACACGUUUAUGUAGUCCUUAACUUGUUUGCAAUUUUAUUUUCCUUUUUACAGAUAUUUCUUGCAAAAUAUCUAUACUAUAGACUUUGUUUCGUCCCUGAUAUUCGCACACGUCUUCUCCGCUGCUCUGUGUUCUUUCAACGUCGAAAAUAUACCCUACAUAUCUGGCAACUUUUCUUGACCAACAGGUGUGGAAGGAAAUAGAAAUGAGAUUUAAUAAAAUAGCUUAUACUGAGUCUUGUGUUCCCAGCAUGAAGUGGCUAUCCAAUCAGGUCACCAUUGUGCAGAACCCCUUCAUCGGCAUUUAGGAGUGCCUGCAAGUGCACGAGCAAGUCUUCACUGGUACAACACUGUUGAGGAUAUUGAUGACUUUAUCCAGGCCCUCCAUGACACAGUCAGCUUCUUUAAUUCUCUCAAGUAGGGGCUUGUACUCUUCCCAUCCUUGCCAGGCUUCUGUAAAUUUUGUAUAAACUUUUCUACGGACACACACCGUAAGCUUAUAUGAUCUGAGUAUAGUUUGUGCAAUAA